rnacentral:tRNA from 1 species
GGGGGUGUAGUUCAGUUGGUUAGAAUGCCGGCCUGUCACGCCGGAGGUCGCGGGUUCGAGCCCCGUCGCUCCCGCCA